rnacentral:rRNA from 1 species
AGUGAACGCUGGCGGUAGGCCUAACACAUGCAAGUCGAACGGCAGCACAAUAAGAGCUUGCUCUUACGGGUGGCGAGUGGCGGACGGGUGCGGAAUACAUCGGAAUCUACUUUUUCGUGGGGGCUAACGUAGGGAAACUUACGCUAAUACCGCAUACGACCUAAGGGUGAAAGCAGGGGAUCUUCGGCCAUUGCGCGAUUGAAUGAGCCGAUGUCGGAUUAGCUAGUUGGCGGGGUAAAGGCCCACCAAGGCGACGAUCCGUAGCUGGUCUGAGAGGAUGAUCAGCCACACUGGAACUGAGACACGGUCCAGACUCCUACGGGAGGCAGCAGUGGGGAAUAUUGGACAAUGGGCGCAAGCCUGAUCCAGCCAUACCGCGUGGGUGAAGAAGGCCUUCGGGUUGUAAAGCACUUUUGGUGGGAAAGAAAAGCAGCAGGUUAAUACCCCGCUGUUCUGACGUUACCCAAAGAAUAAGCACCGGCUAACUUCGUG